rnacentral:rRNA from 1 species
GGAGUUAGCCGGUGCUUCUUCUGCGAGUAACGUCACAGAUGUAAGGUAUUAACUUACACCCUUUCCUCCUCGCUGAAAGUGCUUUACAACCCGAAGGCCUUCUUCACACACGCGGCAUGGCUGCAUCAGGGUUUCCCCCAUUGUGCAAUAUUCCCCACUGCUGCCUCCCGUAGGAGUCUGGGCCGUGUCUCAGUCCCAGUGUGGCUGAUCAUCCUCUCAGACCAGCUAGGGAUCGUCGCCUAGGUGAGCCUUUACCUCACCUACUAGCUAAUCCCACCUGGGCUUAUCCAUCAGCGCAAGGCCCGAAGGUCCCCUGCUUUCCCCCGUAGGGCGUAUGCGGUAUUAGCAGUCGUUUCCAACUGUUAUCCCCCACAAUGGGCAAAUUCCCAGGCAUUACUCACCCGUCCGCCGCUCGUCAUCUUCAAAGCAAGCUUUUGAAUGUUACCGCUCGACUUGCAUGUGUUAGGCCUGCCGCCAGCGUUCAAUCUGAGCCAGGAUCAAACUCUGA